CAAUAGCGUAUAUUUAAGUUGUUGCAGUUAAAAAGCUCGUAGUUGGAUUUCGGUUAAGAGCGACCGGUCCGCCGUUUGGUGUGCACUGGUUGGUUUUAACUUCCUGUAGAGGACGUGCUCUGGGUUUAACGACCUGGACUCGGAGUCUACGUGGUUACUUUGAAAAAAUUAGAGUGUUCAAAGCGGGCUUACGCUUGAAUAUCUCAGCAUGGAAUAACACUAUAGGACUCCUGUCCUAUUUCGUUGGUCUCGGGACGGGAGUAAUGAUUAAGAGGAACAGUUGGGGGCAUUCGUAUUUCAUUGUCAGAGGUGAAAUUCUUGGAUUUAUGAAAGACGAACUUCUGCGAAAGCAUUUGCCAAGGAUGUUUUCAUUAA
rnacentral:rRNA from 1 species